rnacentral:rRNA from 1 species
GUUACGGCGGUCAUAGCGUGGGGGAAACGCCCGGUCCCAUCCCGAACCCGGAAGCUAAGGCCCACAGCGCCGAUGGUACUGCACACGGGAGUGUGUGGGAGAGUAGGUCGCCGCCGGACAC